CUUGAGUACUUACACUUUGCUUGGACAUAACAUAGAUGAUGAGGUAUGGUGAUACUUAAUGUAGAAGAAGCAAUAUUUCACGUUCUUCUCUCCAUGACAGUCAUGUAUGCGGUACUUGGCAAGAAAGAAAGAGACGUCUAAUUGGUGGAAGCAGAGGCCACGUUUCCCUAAGAGGCAAGAUUACCAUGCUUUAAAUGCAGAAUCCCAUACAUCUCAUGUACUUACUCAGACAAAGAAGAAGUGGGCCACUUGGGGCAGUCCUGGCUUCAGAUGGGCCAAUUCAGAGAGGCAUCAGUGUAUGCGUGCAUGAGGCAUCUAGAAUUACAGUGGAAGGCUGUGAUAACAGGUGGAAAGGAUACAAAGCCUUUGGGGACAGUAGAAGAAAGAUUCGGAGUGGGAAUGAGGAACGUCAGAUUCUACUUGUCUUGUUGCUACAGUAACUAGAAUCGUGUCACCUUGAGCAAGUCACUUUACCUCCCUUGUCCUCAACUGCCUUAAUAUGUAAUAAGGCCAUUUGAGUCAGCAGACAUUUGUGACCCUUUCUGACUUUAAAAUGUG
rnacentral:lncRNA from 1 species